rnacentral:lncRNA from 1 species
UAGGCACCUACCUGCCAUGGGCUGCAUGCGGUCACCUGUGACUAACACUUCCCCAGAUAAACUUAAUCCAAAAAUCCACAGAAAUCAGCGUUUCUUUCCAUUACCCGCAAUGAGCUUUGGAUCGGACUUAGGUGUGGUAGAGCCAGGCUCGCUCGGAAUUAGUGGCCAGAUGUUCAAGGCUUGAUACGCUGAGGAAUCGCUGCCAGCCUGGUGAAACCUUCCCAGGGCACGCUGAGAGGCCCAAAGCAGUAAGUAAACGGAGGAAUGGCAAACUGGGGCCGCGGGAUGGCCUCAGAUGGCCCAUGAGGGACAGGUCCCUUGUCCCUGUGUGCUGCGGGGAGGCUCGGAGCCUUGCUGAAACACCCACAGAGCGGCCAGUUCGGUUUGUUUUUUUUUUUUUUAAACAAACUGUCUGUGAAUCUUUGUAUUGUAGGGUCGCGGAUAGAAGUUGGUUUCCACACCUUUAGAGCGCGGAUGCCGAUGGCGCUUCACUCACCCUGUGUGAAUGCAGUCGGGAGGCUGUGACGGGGCGGGGAGGACAAGACGGAGGAGAAUCAAGCUGUGAGGGGGACCGGGGGUGCUGCCCGGAGCCCCCCUCUCCGUCCUGAGGCGAGGCGGGGGGAAGCGUAGCCGAGGGUUUCCCCCCCCCCCAUCACCUCAUGGCGAGCGCUCCAGAGGGAAAGGCUGAGGCGAUGGCGACCGUUAGGCGGGGUCGCGCGCCCCCUCAGAGUUGGAGGCGGGGGGCGGGGGGGGGGGGUGGAACCAGGCGGCGGCCCCCGCCACCCGCCAGGGGGCAGGCGGGGCGCGAGCGCCGCCGCGCGCGUGUCCCGCCCUCAGAGAGACACCUCAGGGCGGUGGAGGAGAAGGAGGAGGAGGAGAAGAAGAAGAAGGGAGGAGGAACGCCCGGCCCUGACCCGCUGUCCCGCCGCUGCCUGCUCCUCUUCCGUCGGCCGCAGGUUGGUGUCCGUGAUACAUCAAAAGGUUUAAUGUGAAGGAUCAUACCUGUGUGCACUGUACUUGCUCUACUGCAGGAAUUUCAAAAUGAUCGAACAGACCACAGUGGAGUGGAGAAAUAAAACUUUUGCUGAUGAAUCCUGUGGCCUUUAA